rnacentral:snRNA from 1 species
UUUCUCACUUUAGCACCACAUAUACUAAAAUUGGAAUGAUACAGAGAAGAUUAGCAUGGCCCUUGUUCAAGGAUGACAUACAAAUUCGUGAAGCGUUUCCUAUUUAA